UCGCAAAGAUUUUCAGUAUUGAAACCAUAUUUCUCGACAUUAUUUGAAGGUGCACUUUACUUUGAUUGUUCAGAGCCUCGACUCUAUAUAAACUGCACCCUAUAUCUUUUUUUUUAUAAAUGUGGUUUAUAAAGGGAAAAAUUGUUUCAUGCGAGGCUAGAUGUCAUUUCUACAUGUGCAGUCUAGAAGUAUAAACCAUCCAUCUUAAAGAUGGAUGCAAAUAUGUGGUCCAUCUAAAAACACUUUAAAUUAAUGGUCCAAAUGUUUUCUUCAUAUAAUUAUUAUUUAUAGUUUCUAAUUUUUUUUGUUUUUUUUUCAUAUUCAUGAUCUCCAUGUUAGAGAUUACAUAUCCUUAAAAAUUAUGUCCAAAAAUCCAUUCUUAAUAAUAGAUUUAUUAAGGGGCCCGCAUUUCUACAUGUGUGGGCUUGGCCUGCAUGCUAAUCUCAUCCUUGUAAUAUUGUAACCUUAAUCAAUCAAAUUAAGGUGUCCUUCCAAAUUUUAUCUUAAAUACAAUUUUAGUGUUAAAAAAUCUUGAUAUGACUUGAGAAUCUACUUUUAUCUCUAAUUAUAAAAUUUUAAACUCCAAAAACAAUUCAAAUCAAAUAGACCUGAAAAUUGACAGUACAGAUAAUGUGUUGCAAGAUAUAUUAUUUUCGAGACUCAAAAUAUUUUUUUUUCUUUUCAUAUUUUGAUGUUGAGAUGAUCAAUUAGAGGAUUUUCCAACAUCAAAAUAACUCUUAUGAUAGAUUUUUUAGAUGCAUCUUAAUUCUACAUUUUAAAGUUGCAAGCUUAUAUAAACUUUUUCCUUUUUAUUGUUGGAAAAUACAUGACAUAUCAUUUUAUCGUGGAGCAUCUUAGAUAUCUCUUUCAUGCAUGACAUAUUGAUCUCAUAUCACUUAAAAAUAAACGAACUGUUCAAACUUGUUUGUCUACAUACCCCAAACAUUAUAUGGUCAAUCAAAUACAUGUACUAAAAACUUCCUCAAUUCAUAAUUCAAUAAGGUAAUCAACCACGUGUACUCUAAAUUUCAUUAACAUUCCAGUAGGUUAUACAGUUAUUCAGAACUUCCUUAAAAAUCCCAAAAAAUAAUGUUCAUUUCUCAACAAAGAAGAACUUGUUUCCAAAUAACAUUUAUCUUUUAGUCAAAUAAACAUCCCUUAUAUAUAUAUAUAGCCGAUCAAUCAUAGCAAAUAAACAUUCCAGAUUCAAUCAUAGCCGAUCUGACAGU
rnacentral:lncRNA from 1 species